GACGAACGCUGGCGGCGCGCUUAACACAUGCAAGUCGAACGGAAAGGCCUGCUUUCCCUUGUGGAUUGCGGGUACUCGAGUGGCGAACGGGUGAGUAACACGUGAGUGAUCUGCCCCCAACUUGGGUAUAAGCCUGGGAAACUGGGUCUAAUUCCCGAUAGGACUGCAGGGUGGUGCCUGUGGUGGAAAACGAUUUUCUAGUGGUUGGGGAUGAGCUCGCGGCCUAUCAGCUUGAUGGUGGGGUAAUGGCCUACCAAGGCGGCGACGGGUAGCCGGCCUGGGAGGGUGGACGGCCACAUUGGGACUGAGAUACGGCCCAGACUCCUACGGGAGGCAGCAGUGGGGAAUAUUGCACAAUGGGCGGAAGCCUGAUGCAGCGACGCCGCGUGGGGGAUGACGGCCUUCGGGUUGUAAACUCCUUUCGACCGCGAGGAAGCCACCUGGUUGGAAGGGUGGUGACGGUAGUGGUAGAAGAAGCACCGGCUAACUACGUG
rnacentral:rRNA from 1 species